UGGGGAAUAUUGCACAAUGGGCGCAAGCCUGAUGCAGCGACGCCGCGUGGGGGAUGACGGCCUUCGGGUUGUAAACUCCUUUCGCUAGGGACGAAGCUUUUUGUGACGGUACCUAGAUAAGAAGCACCGGCUAACUACGUGCCAGCAGCCGCGGUAAUACGCAGGGUGCGAGCGUUGUCCGGAAUUACUGGGCGUAAAGGGCUCGUUGGUGGUUUGUCGCGUCGUCUGUGAAAUUCCGGGGCUUAACUCCGGGCGUGCAGGCGAUACGGGCAUAACUUGAGUACUGUAGGGGUAACUGGAAUUCCUGGUGUAGCGGUGAAAUGCGCAGAUAUCAGGAGGAACACCGAUGGCGAAGGCAGGUUACUGGGCAGUUACUGACGCUGAGGAGCGAAAGCAUGGGUAGCGAACAGG
rnacentral:rRNA from 1 species